AGGGGUGUCCCAGACAACAAGAACUGCUAACUCUUGCAUCCGAGCUUUAAACCUCGGCCCCCUU
rnacentral:tRNA from 1 species